GCGCUGGUAGUGCAGCGGUAGAGUAGCGCUCUCGGAAAGAGUGAGAUCUGGGUUCAAGUCCUAGCUGACGCA